rnacentral:tRNA from 1 species
UUUAAGAUGGCAGAUAAAUGUAUCAGGUUUAGGACCUGAAGAUGAAAAUUUCUCUUUUAGGG